rnacentral:rRNA from 1 species
ACUGAGAUACGGCCCAGACUCCUACGGGAGGCAGCAGUAGGGAAUUUUCCACAAUGGGCGAAAGCCUGAUGGAGCAACACAGCGUGUAGGAUGAAGGCCU